rnacentral:rRNA from 1 species
UACGGAAGGGGCAAGCGUUGUUCGGAAUCAUUGGGCGUAAAGGGCGCGUAGGUGGUUCUGUAUGUCUACCGUGAAAGCAUACAGCUCAACUGUAUUUUGUCGGUAGAAACUGCAGGACUUGAGGCUGGGAGGGGCUGGGGGAAUUCCCUGUGUAGCGGUGAAAUGCGUAGAGAUGGGGGAGAACACUCGUGGCGAAGGCGGCCAGCUAGACCAGUUCUGACACUGAGGCGCGACAGCGUGGGGAGCAAACAGG